rnacentral:lncRNA from 1 species
UUAUAAAUCAUAUUGUGGAUGUUCAUAACCGGCCCGGUUCAUAACCGGCCCAAUGCUAGAGAGAGAGAGUCGGUCGUGAGAAGAGAGUGAGAGAGAAUCGACCUCUUGCAUUUUCUUUAUUAGAUUAUGAUUUGUACUCUUUCCAUAUUUUGUAUUUUCUUUUUUUAGUAUUUCCAUUAUUCUAUGACGAUGUAAUUCUCUAUAUAUAAAGGGCUUCUUAUGUUUAUGAAUAUGACAGAAACAUAGAUUAUAUUCUCUAGUUUCACAACACGUUAUCAGCACGAUUACUCUAAACCCUAAGCUAAAGUUCGAACCCUAAAACCCUAACCUCACCCCGGCGAUAAAACCUAAACCCGACGACGAACCCUAAUCUGAUCGAGAACCUAAAACCCCAUACUCAAGGCGUUCCCGAUCUCAGCACGCGACCUCAGUCCGCUCCUCAGCUCGCGACUUCAGCCUGUUCGCGAGACACGAUCUCAGCCUG